UAAGGAAUAUUGGUCAAUGGACGCAAGUCUGAACCAGCCAUGCCGCGUGAAGGAUGAAGGUCCUCUGGAUUGUAAACUUCUUUUAUUUGGGAAGAAACCCAUUUUUCUAGAGUGGUUGACGGUACCAGAUGAAUAAGCACCGGCUAACUCCGUGCCAGCAGCCGCGGUAAUACGGAGGGUGCAAGCGUUAUCCGGAUUCACUGGGUUUAAAGGUGCGUAGGUGGCAGUUAAGUCAGUGGUGAAAUCUCCGGGCUUAACCCGGAAACUGCCAUUGAUACUAUCUGUCUUGAAUACCGUGGAGGUGAGCGGAAUAUGUCAUGUAGCGGUGAAAUGCUUAGAUAUGACAUAGAACACCAAUUGCGAAGGCAGCUCACUACGCGAAUAUUGACACUGAGGCACGAAAGCGUGGGGAUCAAACAGGAUUAGAUACCCUGGUAGUCCACGCCCUAAACGAUGGAUACUCGACAUACGCGAUACACAGUGUGUGUCUGAGC
rnacentral:rRNA from 1 species